AUUGAACGCUGGCGGCAGGCCUAACACAUGCAAGUCGAGCGGCAGCGGAAAGUAGCUUGCUACUUUGCCGGCGAGCGGCGGACGGGUGAGUAAUGUCUGGGAAACUGCCUGAUGGUGGGGGAUAACUACUGGAAACGGUAGCUAAUACCGCAUAACGUCGCAAGACCAAAGAGGGGGACCUUCGGGACUUUUGCCAUCAGAAGAGCCCAGAUGGGAUUAGCUAGUAGGUGGGGUAAAGGCUCACCUAGGCGACGAUCCCUAGCUGGUCUGAGAGGAUGACCAGCCACACUGGAACUGAGACACGGUCCAGACUCCUACGGGAGGCAGCAGUGGGGAAUAUUGCACAAUGGGCGCAAGCCUGAUGCAGCCAUGCCGCGUGUAUGAAGAAGGCCUUCGGGUUGUAAAGUACUUUCAGCGGGGAGGAAGGUGUUGAGGUUAAUAACCUCAGCAAUUGACGUUACCCGCAGAAGAAGCACCGGCUAACUCCGUGCCAGCAGCCGCAGUAAGAC
rnacentral:rRNA from 1 species